rnacentral:sRNA from 1 species
UUACGCGCGAGCGGCCUCCGGACCGCUUGCCUUUUCCGGGA